rnacentral:misc_RNA from 1 species
AUCCAAACAAAACAAUAGUCUUUUUUUUUUUCUCUUCAUUCUUUCUCUUUAAUUUCUUCUUAAUUUCCUUGUUCAAUUAAUAAUGCAAACAAAGGGUUAGGAAAUCAAUAACGUAUAAAGCAAUUGAUACUCAAAUAACUACCACUCACAAAAGCUUCAGUGGAAUUCACAUGAAUAUCAACAAUAUACACGUAACUAGACACUAAAAAAAAUGCAAUCUUUUAGUCAAAAGGCAUUAUUA